AUGGCAAAGAACACAUGCAAGCUCUGCUUCCGCCGCUUCGCCAGCCCCCGCGCCCUCGCAGGCCACAUGCGCUCCCACUCCGUCCGCAACCCGGCCGCGAAGCAGCAGAUCUCAUCGGCGUCCUCCGCGUCCACCUCCUUCACCGCCGCCGCCGACGGCGACGUCAGCUUCAAGAAGCCCCUUCCAAUCUACGCGCUCCGGGAGAAUCCCAAGCGCAGCCUGCGCGUCACCGAUGUCGCCUUCUCGGAUCGCGAGAGUGAGGCCGAGUCCACCCCGCCGCACCCCAAGCGCGCGCACGCCGCCGCUGCCGGGGGCGAGACCGAGCCGCUGAGCUCGGUGUCGGACGCAGCCACGCCGGAGGAGGACGUGGCGCUGUCCCUCAUGAUGCUCUCCCGCGACUCCUGGCCUUCGACGGGGCGCGGCUACGGCGACGGCGACUACUCGGACGACGGGAGCGACGGCGGUUACACGCUCCCCGCUCCCGAUCCGGCGCCGGUGGAGAAGCGCACACGGUUCCAGUGCGGCGCGUGCAAGAAGGUAUUCCGUUCCUACCAGGCUCUCGGCGGCCACCGCGCCAGCCACGUGCGCGGCGGCAGGGGCGGCUGCUGCGCGCCUCCCAUCGCUCCCCCUCCUCCUCCUCCGCAGCCGCUGGCACCGGCGCCAUUGAUGGAACGCGAGGGGGACGAGGACAUGGACGGGAAGGGGUCGCCACGGGAGUGCCCCUACUGCUACCGCGUGUUCGCCUCCGGGCAAGCUCUUGGUGGGCACAAGAGGUCCCAUGUUUGCUCCGCCGCCGCCGCCGCAGCACAGGCGCAUGCAGCCGCCGCUCCUCCGGCGCCGAUCAAAGCCUUUGGCAUGAUCGAUCUGAACAUCGCGCUGCCGUUCGAGGAUGUGGAGCUCUCUGCCGUGUCAGAUCCCCGUUUCUCCUCCAAUCCAGGUUCCUGA
rnacentral:rRNA from 1 species